AUACGAAGGGUGCGAGCGUUGUUCGGAUUUAUUGGGCGUAAAGCGGGUGCAGGCGGAUAAGUAAGUCAGAUGUGAAAUCUCGGGGCUCAACCCCGAAACUGCGUCUGAAACUACUUGUCUAGAAUCUCGUAGAGGGAGGCGGAAUUUCACAUGUAGGAGUAAAAUCCGUAGAGAUGUGAAGGAACACCAGAGGCGAAGGCGGCCUCCUGGGCGAGAAUUGACGCUGUAGCCGAAAGCGUGGGGAGCAAACAGGAUUAGAUACCCUGGUAGUCCACGCCGUAAACACUGUGCACUAGAUUUGGGGGGAGUUGACCCCUUCUGAAUCGGAGCUAACGCAUUAAGUGCACCGCCUGGGGAGUACGGUCGCAAGACUAAA
rnacentral:rRNA from 1 species